AUUGUGACAAGAAAAUUAAUUGUAAUGAAGGUAUUAAAUUUCGAUGCAUGUUUUGUGGUCAUGCCAAUGCAAUUUCUAUCAAGAGAUAUAGAUUAAUUGUUGAGCUAUUUGAUGGGACAGAUAGAAUUGAAGCAACAAUGUUUAAUCGUCAUGUGGAUAAGUUAUUUUCUUUAACCGAAACAGAGAAUG